UUCUGGCUCAGAACGAACGCUGGCGGCAGGCCUAACACAUGCAAGUCGAGCGUGAAAGGGGCUUCGGCCCUGAGUAAAGCGGCGCACGGGUGAGUAACACGUGAAUAAUCUGCCCUCGAGACCGGGAUAACAGACCGAAAGGACUGCUAAUACCGGAUAAGCCCCCACACCGAACCGGGUGGGAGGGAAAAGUACGGGAACCUUCGGGUCCGUGCGCUAGAGGAUGAGUUCGCGUCCCAUUAGAUAGUUGGCGGGGUAAUGGCCCACCAAGUCGACGAUGGGUAGCUGGUCUUGGAGGAUGAUCAGCCACACUGGAACUGAGACACGGUCCAGACUCCUACGGGAGGCAGCAGUGGGGAAUCUUGCGCAAUGGAGGAAACUCUGACGCAGCCAUGCCCGCGUGAGUGAUGAAGGCCCUCGGGUUGUAAAGCUCUGUCUAAGGGGACGAACGGCCGUUUUUCCAACAGGAGGACGGCGUGACGGUACCCUUAAAGAAAACACCGGCUAACUCCGUGCCAGCCGCUGC
rnacentral:rRNA from 1 species